AGGUGUGGAGGUGCUGUGAGGACAAAUGUUGGGCAAUCAUACCAAAGGUCUAUCAUCCUUCCUGUCAUUUGUGCAGAGGACGCUGGAGGAAGAGGAUGGCAGAGAGAAGUUGAAGGAUCCUCAUUGCUUCAAGUGUCUGGGGACAUCCCAUUGUCACAGCAUCUGUUGUAUUUGGUGCCACUGAAUUUGGACAUGAAAAUCUUUGCCUUUUUCUUUGCUGUGCUCCUCUUAAUGCUGCAGGGCACUUCAGGUUUCCUGCGUGCCCCCAACACAGAGGGGCAGUGCAGACAGGCUGGGG